AACUACUAAAUGUUUCAAUUUUCAACAUGAGGUAUUUAAAGCUUUUUUUAUUACAAUGGGCUUUCCAGACUCAUAGUGUGUUUUCGGAAUUUUUCGAAAAGUGUGUGUUUUAGGCUUAAAAAUAUCAUAAAUAUCGAAAAUGUACACAAAAGUUCAAUCAGAUAGAUGAUACAUUAGAAGAACUCGGAAUAUCAAAAGAAUAUUAUAGAAUGCAAAAUUUCACAAGACUGAUUUUGAUUGUGUGACAUAUCAAUACUAGACUGGAUAAAAUAAAUGAUUAUAUUGCACAGAUAUCAGAAAUGGAG